rnacentral:rRNA from 1 species
GAUGAACGCUGGCGGCGUGCCUAAUACAUGCGAGUAGAACGCUGAAGGAGGAGCUUGCUCUUCUGGAUGAGUUGCGAACGGGUGAGUAACGCGUAGGUAACCUGCCUGGUAGCGGGGGAUAACUAUUGGAAACGAUAGCUAAUACCGCAUGACAACAGUUAUUGCAUGAUAACUGUUUAAAAGGGGCAACUGCUCCACUACCAGAUGGACCUGCGUUGUAUUAGCUAGUUGGUGAGGUAACGGCUCACCAAGGCGACGAUACAUAGCCGACCUGAGAGGGUGAUCGGCCACACUGGGACUGAGACACGGCCCAGACUCCUACGGGAGGCAGCAGUAGGGAAUCUUCGGCAAUGGACGGAAGUCUGACCGAGCAACGCCGCGGGAGUGAAGAAGGGUUUCGGAUCGUAAAGCUCUGUUGUAAGAGAAGAACGAGGGUGAGAGUGGAAAGUUCACACUGUGACGGUAUCUUACCAGAAAGGGACGGCUAACUACGUG